rnacentral:rRNA from 1 species
GACGAACGCUGGCGGAGUGCUUAACACAUGCAAGUCGAACGGAAAGGCCCUGCUUUUGUGGGGUGCUCGAGUGGCGAACGGGUGAGUAACACGUGAGUAACCUGCCCUUGACUUUGGGAUAACUUCAGGAAACUGGGGCUAAUACCGGAUAGGAGCUCCUGCUGCAUGGUGGGGGUUGGAAAGUUUCGGCGGUUGGGGAUGGACUCGCGGCUUAUCAGCUUGUUGGUGGGGUAGUGGCUUACCAAGGCUUUGACGGGUAGCCGGCCUGAGAGGGUGACCGGCCACAUUGGGACUGAGAUACGGCCCAGACUCCUACGGGAGGCAGCAGUGGGGAAUAUUGCACAAUGGGCGGAAGCCUGAUGCAGCAACGCCGCGUGCGGGAUGACGGCCUUCGGGUUGUAAACCGCUUUCGCCUGUGACGAAGCGUGAGUGACGGUAAUGGGUAAAGAAGCACCGGCUAACUACGUG